GUGCGCCUACGGGACGCAGCAGUGGGGAAUAUUGGGCAAUGGGCGCAAGCCUGACCCAGCAACGCCGCGUGAAGGAAGAAGGCUUUCGGGUUGUAAACUUCUUUUCUCAGGGACGAAGAAAGUGACGGUACCUGAGGAAUAAGCCACGGCUAACUACGUGCCAGCAGCCGCGGUAAUACGUAGGUGGCAAGCGUUAUCCGGAUUUACUGGGUGUAGAGGGCGUGUAGGCGGGAAAGCAAGUCAGAUGUGAAAACCAU
rnacentral:rRNA from 1 species